rnacentral:rRNA from 1 species
UACAGAGGUCUCGAGCGUUGUUCGGAUUCAUUGGGCGUAAAGGGCGCGUAGGCUGCGGGGUAAGUCAGGUGUGAAAUCUCAGAGCUCAACUCUGAAAUUGCACUUGAUACUGCUCUGCUAGAGGACUGGAGAGGAGAUUGGAAUUCACGGUGUAGCAGUGAAAUGCGUAGAUAUCGUGAGGAAGACCGGUGGCGAAGGCGGGUCUCUGGACAGUUCCUGACACUGAGACACGAAGGCCAGGGGAGCAAACGGG